GGGAAUAUUGCACAAUGGGCGAAAGCCUGAUGCAGCAACGCCGCGUGAGUGAUGAAGGUCUUCGGAUUGUAAAGCUCUGUCUUUUGGGACGAUAAUGACGGUACCAAAGGAGGAAGCCACGGCUAACUACGUGCCAGCAGCCGCGGUAAUACGUAGGUGGCGAGCGUUGUCCGGAUUUACUGGGCGUAAAGGGUGCGUAGGCGGAUGUUUAAGUGAGAUGUGAAAUACCCGGGCUUAACUUGGGUGCUGCAUUUCAAACUGGAUAUCUAGAGUGCAGGAGAGGAGAAUGGAAUUCCUAGUGUAGCGGUGAAAUGCGUAGAGAUUAGGAAGAACACCAGUGGCGAAGGCGAUUCUCUGGACUGUAACUGACGCUGAGGCACGAAAGCGUGGGUAGCAAACAGGAUUAGAUACCCUGGUAGUCCACGCCGUAAACGAUGAGUACUAGGUGUAGGAGGUAUCGACCCCUUCUGUGCCGCAGUAAACACAUUAAGUACUCCGCCUGGGAAGUACGAUCGCAAGAUUAAA
rnacentral:rRNA from 1 species